GCCCAGUGGUCUAGAGGUUAAGUUCUCUGGCGCGAGACUGGUAGGUCCUGGGUUCGAAUCUCACGGGGCGA
rnacentral:tRNA from 1 species